ACAGAAACAUAUUCCUUUUUAAGAAAACACAUAUCAAAUAGUUUGACCAUAUUUAAACAAAAGUGAAAAUUUACAAAACAAAAAACAUUGUUUAUGUCAACGAAUAAUAGUGUAUUACCAUCACAUGUGUAUGCAUAUAGCAUUAAUAUGGCUUACAUUACACACAUUACAUUUAGGAGUACCAGAUUGUGCAGGUGACUAAAGAUAGUUGCUACACCUUCUAGAUACCGCCUGGAGUUUGUGAUGUUCUCCCUCACAACUACUACCAUUUACAUCGUAAUUAAGACAUUUGCGAUAAUGCCAAAGCGUGUACGAUCUCAUACUUCAUUAACACAUUGUUUUAAGAGUCUGCCGAAGAGAACAACAACUGAUGUACGAUUUGCUGCUCGUAGCGUUUCUUCUCUUGCCCGAUGGUUUUAUGGAUUUGGGUUUUUUCUUUGUGUACAAGUCAAGUCGCAUUCCAUCCAAACUCACACGUACUCACAAAUUCGUUGAAUGGAGCCGCCGUACCCACAUUGUUGGAGCUCUGGCGGAUUGUUGGUUUGCGUUUAUACGAGUUUUUUUUUUGUACAUUAAGAUGUGAAAAAAGUAUCUAUUUAUGUAUGUACAUACACAUACACAUUUGUACUUAUGGAUAUGAAAUGAAUGUUUAAUAAAUAUUAAAUCAAAUUAAACGUUAACACCGA